AAGACAUUAGUAAAAUGCAAAUUACACCACCUUGUCAAGGUGAAGUUGUAGGUUAACAAGGUGAAGUUGUAGGUUAAAUCCCUGCAUGUCUUA
rnacentral:tRNA from 1 species